GUUCCCUUUGGGGUGACAUAUGAAAAAAUUGGAAUGAUACAGAGAAGGGCUUUUUUGCCUUUGUCAACAAUUUCACUGUAAUUCCCGGAGUGGGUUGAUCUGUCCAUUUGCGGAAAAUUUCCCUUUUUGAAUAUUCUAAUAUUUUGACCCAGUCAGUGUCUGGGUCAAAAAUAUAUAAUAUUGUUCAGUUAACAUGGCCCCUGCACAAGGAUGGCAUGCUUUCCCGGAGUGGUAGGUCUACAGAUCUCAAUAUUUAU
rnacentral:snRNA from 1 species